rnacentral:misc_RNA from 1 species
GAUCCAUCAUUUAUCUUUUUGUUGAGCACAACUGUCUGCCACAUCUUUGUUAUAGUCUCGUGAUUACUAUCUAGAAGUUCACGACCUUGAACAAGAUCUGUUUUAUAGCUGUACGUGUUCUUGAGUUCUACAAUCUAGAAGUUCAAGUCGGUAGCUAAAAAGCUUAGAGAUCCCUCCCCAUAUUUUUGGGAUAGCUUCUCGGGGAUUGAUUAGAUUGGUAGGUGUAACUGGAAGG